GCGGUACGCGAGCUGGGUUCAGAACGUCGUGAGACAGUUCGGUCCCUAUCUGUCGCGGGCGCAGGAAAUUUGAGAGGAGCUGUCCUUAGUACGAGAGGACCGGGAUGGACGUACCGCUGGUGUACCAGUUGUUCCGCCAGGAGCACCGCUGGGUAGCCAAGUACGGACGGGAUAAGCGCUGAAAGCAUCUAAGCGUGAAGCCCCCCUCAAGAUGAGAUUUCCCAAUCCGUAAGACCCCUGGUAGACGACCAGGUUGAUAGGUUCGGGGUGGAAGCGCAGCAAUGCGUGCAGCUGACGAAUACUAAUCGGUCGAGGGCUUAUCCUAA
rnacentral:rRNA from 1 species